rnacentral:lncRNA from 1 species
GCAGGAGUCGCAGUCCAUACAAAAAAAGACAGAUCGUCCAAAGAUAGAGAAAAGGCUGAUGAUGGCAAAGACAGAAGCCGAAGUAGAAGUGAAAGUCGAAGCAGGAGUCGAAGUCCUUACAAAAAAGACAGAUCAUCCAAAGACAGAGAAAAAGGAGACAAAGCUGAUGAUGGAAACAGUAAAGAUGAGAAAUGGUCAAUUGAAGAUGAUAAUGAUAACAAUGAUGAUGUCGAUUUUGAAUCUAAUGUUGAUAAAAAUGAUAAUGCUGCACUUGAGGUGCAAACACAAAGACAACAAAAAAUCUAACAAUGACCAGAUGAUGACCACAACACCAUUCUGUAAUACAAAUUUAGAUUCCAAGUGUGAUCAACAAUUAAAUAAAUACAUAUAAAUGGUAUAAGUGUUAUUGUUGAUCAAGGCAUCAAACAAAAA